AAUCAACGCGUGGCGGCGUGCCUAACACAUGCAAGUCGAACGCGAAAGCCCUUUCGGGGGUAAGUAGAGUGGCGUCCGGGUGAGUAACACGUAGGUAAUCUACCUUCGGGUGGGGAAUAACUCGCCGAAAGGCGAGCUAAUACCGCAUAAUGCAGCGGCACCUAAUGGUGAUUAGUUGUUAAAGCGGGGAUCGUAAGACCUCGCGCCUGAAGAGGAGCCUGCGGCAGAUUAGCAGUUGGUGAGUAAUGGCUCACCAAGGCUUCGAUCUGUAGCUGGUCUGAGAGGACGGCCAGCCACACUGGCACUGACACACGGGCCAGACUCCUACGGGAGCAGCAGUGGGAAUUUUGGGCAAUGGGCGCAAGCCUGACCCAGCAACG
rnacentral:rRNA from 1 species